GACGAACGCUGGCGGCGUGCUUAACACAUGCAAGUCGAACGGAAAGGCCCUGCUUUUGUGGGGUGCUCGAGUGGCGAACGGGUGAGUAACACGUGAGUAACCUGCCCUUGACUUUGGGAUAACUUCAGGAAACUGGGGCUAAUACCGGAUAGGAGCUCCUGCUGCAUGGUGGGGGUUGGAAAGUUUCGGCGGUUGGGGAUGGACUCGCGGCUUAUCAGCUUGUUGGUGGGGUAGUGGCUUACCAAGGCUUUGACGGGUAGCCGGCCUGAGAGGGUGACCGGCCACAUUGGGACGGAGAUACGGCCCAGACUCCUACGGGAGGCAGCAGUGGGGAAUAUAGCACAAUGGGCGGAAGCCUGAUGCAGCAACGCCGCGUGCGGGAUGACGGCCUUCGGGUUGUAAACCGCUUUCGCCUGUGACGAAGCGUGAGUGACGGUAAUGGGUAAAGAAGCACCGGCUAACUACGUG
rnacentral:rRNA from 1 species